GAGAUAAGGCGUUCCCUUCGGGGACGCAAUGACAGGUGGUGCAUGGUCGUCGUCAGCUCGUGUCGUGAGAUGUUGGGUUAAGUCCCGCAACGAGCGCAACCCUUGUUACUAGUUGCCAACAUUAAGUUGGGCACUCUAGUGAGACUGCCGGUGACAAACCGGAGGAAGGUGGGGACGACGUCAGAUCAUCAUGCCCCUUAUGACCUGGGCUACACACGUGCUACAAUGGACGGUACA
rnacentral:rRNA from 1 species